rnacentral:rRNA from 1 species
GACGAACGCUGGCGGCGUGCUUAACACAUGCAAGUCGAACGAUGAUGCGGUGCUUGCACCGUGGAUUAGUGGCGAACGGGUGAGUAACACGUGAGUAACCUGCCCUUCACUCUGGGAUAAGCGCUGGAAACGGUGUCUAAUACUGGAUAUUUAGGCUCUGCUGCAUGGUGGGGUUUGGAAAGAUUUUUUGGUGGAGGAUGGGCUCGCGGCCUAUCAGUUUGUUGGUGGGGUGAUGGCCUACCAAGACGACGACGGGUAGCCGGCCUGAGAGGGUGACCGGCCACACUGGGACUGAGACACGGCCCAGACUCCUACGGGAGGCAGCAGUGGGGAAUAUUGCACAAUGGGCGAAAGCCUGAUGCAGCGACGCCGCGUGAGGGAUGACGGCCUUCGGGUUGUAAAGCUCUUUCAGCUGGGAAGAUAAUGACGGUACCAGCAGAAGAAGCCCCGGCUAACUCCGUGCCAGCCGCCGCGGUAAAAC